rnacentral:misc_RNA from 1 species
GAAACGCGAUAGUUAAUGUGAAUUGCAGAAUUCAGUGAAUCAUCGAGUCUUUGAACGCACAUUGCGCCCAUAGAUAUUCCUUUGGGCAUGUCUGUUUGAGCGUCAUUACAACCCUCAGCUAACCGCUGGUUUUGAACCUGAACGGGUGACACCGCGCCGGUUUUAAAGUUGUAAGCUCUGCUGGCCGCUCUGCCCAACCAGAACAUAGUAAGCACUACUUGUCCGGGUGAAGCUGAACGGUACGGCCUGAACAAAACCUACCCACUCUCAAGGUUUGACCUCAGAUCAGACAAGGAUACCCGCUGAACUUAAGC